rnacentral:rRNA from 1 species
GGUGAACGCUGGCGGCGUGCCUAAUACAUGCAAGUCGAGCGAACAGACGAGGAGCUUGCUCCUUUGACGUUAGCGGCGGACGGGUGAGUAACACGUGGGUAACCUACCUAUAAGACUGGGAUAACUUCGGGAAACCGGAGCUAAUACCGGAUAAUAUUUCGAACCGCAUGGUUCGAAAGUGAAAGAUGGCUUUGCUAUCACUUAUAGAUGGACCUGCGCCGUAUUAGCUAGUUGGUAAGGUAACGGCUUACCAAGGCAACGAUACGUAGCCGACCUGAGAGGGUGAUCGGCCACACUGGAACUGAGACACGGUCCAGACUCCUACGGGAGGCAGCAGUAGGGAAUCGUCCGCAGUGGGCGAAAGCCUGACGGAGCAACGCCGCGUGAGUGAUGAAGGUCUUCGGAUCGUAAAACUCUGUUAUUAGGGAAGAACAAACGUGUAAGUAACUGUGCACGUCUUGACGGUACCUGAUCAGAAAGCCACGGCUAACUACGUG